GGAGUUAGCCGGUGCUUCUUCUGUGAGUGAUGUCCUUCCUGCCGGCUAUUAACCCGCAGGCCUUCUUCCUCACUGAAAGUGCUUUACAACCCGAAGGCCUUCUUCACACACGCGGCAUGUCUGGAUCAGGGUUGCCCCCAUUGUCCAAUAUUCCCCACUGCUGCCUCCCGUAGGAGUCUGGGCCGUGUCUCAGUCCCAGUGUGGCUGAUCAUCCUCUCAGACCAGCUACGGAUCGUCGCCUUGGUGAGCCGUUACCUCACCAACCAGCUAAUCCGACAUAGGCUCAUCCGAUAGCGCGAGGCCCGAAGGUCCCCCGCUUUCCCCCGUAGGGCGUAUGCGGUAUUAGCCUGGGUUUCCCCAGGUUAUCCCCCACUACCGGGCAGAUUCCUAUGCAUUACUCACCCGUCCGCCGCUCGCCACCAGGGAGCAAGCUCCCCGUGCUGCCGCUCGACUUGCAUGUGUUAGGCCUGCCGCCAGCGUUCAAUCUGAGCCAUAAUCAAACUCUGA
rnacentral:rRNA from 1 species